rnacentral:tRNA from 1 species
GGAGCGGCACGGGCCCGGUGGCCCAGCCGGUCUUCAAAACCGGUGAGGCCUGGCAGCCCCAGGCUGGGUAGGUUCGACUCCUGCGCCGCUCCG